rnacentral:rRNA from 1 species
GACGAACGCUGGCGGCAUGCCUUACACAUGCAAGUCGAACGGUAACGGGCCUUCGGGUGCCGACGAGUGGCGAACGGGUGAGUAAUGCAUCGGAACGUACCCAUCAGUGGGGGAUAACUCUCCGAAAGGAGGGCUAAUACCGCAUAUUCUGUGCGCAGGAAAGCGGGGGACCGCAAGGCCUCGCGCUGAUGGAGCGGCCGAUGUCAGCUUAGCUAGUUGGUGGGGUAAAGGCCUACCAAGGCGACGAUCUGUAGCGGGUCUGAGAGGAUGAUCCGCCACAAUGGGACUGAGACACGGCCCAGACUCCUACGGGAGGCAGCAGUGGGGAAUUUUGGACAAUGGGGGCAACCCUGAUCCAGCCAUGCCGCGUGAGUGAAGAAGGCCUUCGGGUUGUAAAGCUCUUUCGGCCGGGAAGAAAGCGCAGCUCCUAAUACGGGGUGUGGAUGACGGUACCGGAAUAAGAAGCACCGGCUAACUACGUGCCAGCAGCCGCCGUAA